AUUGAACGCUGGCGGCAUGCCUUACACAUGUAAGUCGAACGGCAGCACGGGUGCUUGCACCUGGUGGCGAGUGGCGAACGGGUGAGUAAUAUAUCGGAACGUACCUUAUUGUGGGGGAUAACGCAGCGAAAGCUGUGCUAAUACCGCAUAAUCCCUAAGGGGGAAAGCGGGGGACCGUAAGGCCUCGCGCAAUUAGAGCGGCCGAUACCUGAUUAGCUAGUUGGUGAGGUAAAGGCUCACCAAGGCAACGAUCAGUAGCUGGUCUGAGAGGACGAUCAGCCACACUGGGACUGAGACACGGCCCAGACUCCUACGGGAGGCAGCAGUGGGGAAUUUUGGACAAUGGGGGCAACCCUGAUCCAGCAAUGCCGCGUGAGGGAAGAAGGCCUUCGGGUUGUAAAGCUCUUUUGUCAGGGAAGAAACAGCAGCUCUAACACAGUUUGCGAAUGACGGUACCUGAAGAAUAAGCACCGGCUAACUACGUGCCAGCCGCCGCAGUAA
rnacentral:rRNA from 1 species